rnacentral:rRNA from 1 species
CGGGGUGAGUAAUGUCUGGGAAACUGCCUGAUGGAGGGGGAUAACUACUGGAAACGGUAGCUAAUACCGCAUACCGUCGCAAGACCAAAGUGGGGGACCUUCGGGCCUCAUGCCAUAAGAUGUGCCCAGAUGGGAUUAGCUAGUAGGUGGGGUAACGGCUCACCUAGGCGACGAUCCCUAGCUGGUCUGAGAGGAUGACCAGCCACACUGGAACUGAGACACGGUCCAG